UCUGAGAUAAGUUAGACAAAUUAUAAGUUAAGACAAAAAUUCCACGAAUAAAGAUUCUGAGAUAAGCAAUUGCAGUUCAGAGGAGGAUGAUUUGUGCAGUCAUAAUCGUAAACGGAAGCCAGAUAUUGGUUGGGUUGGUAAAGCUCUUGAACCCGCUUUGCAGUUGUACAAGUGGGCUCGUCCAACAGGAAAUGGUAUGGAAAAUGAACCAGCACCUACGGAUAGAUCUCUUACCGACAUUUUCGCUAGUAUACAAAGGAGUAAACUUGGAAUUCAGGAUUGGAGUCUAAGCGAUCUUGCUAUUGACUUGUAUCUCAUUGGCAGGCGUCCACAAAUUAUGUGGAGGACGUGAAGGGUAAACUUAUCUCUUCGGAGUCCAUCGUCACUCUUUGAAACUCUUUCCUUUCUCAGUCAAAUAUAGUACGAAUGAUCUCUACUCGUGAUGGUAAGAUUGGUGUCUUUGUGACAUGAGCUAGAAUGCUUAUGUAAUGAUGACCUUUGAUUUAGGUACAAGAUCUUAUCUACUACACUGAACUAGCAAAAGGGGCUUAUAAAGAUAAUGCCACUGGUCUUGCAAGGAAUAGCAUGCUCCAAGAAAAUAAUGUUGUGAAGUUCGUAAAAAGUUCCAGCAUUGAGACCUGGAUACUAUUUGGGAAUUGACAUGCGGAAGAAACUUGUGAUUCUUGGCAUUCGUGGAACUCAAAAUGUCUAUGACCUAAUCACUGAUAUUGUUUCUUCAACCCACUUUGGAACAGCUGAGGCUGCUCGUUGGUUUCUAACUCAUGAGAUAGACCCGAUAAGGAGGUGCCUAAAGGAUCACAAGGUGGUAUCAUGGUAUUUGUUAUAUAUAAUGCUUGGGGUUGUGUUAAGAUUUUCUUGUUGCUGCUGUUAUGAAACUGGUUAAGAUACAAGGUUUUCGAUUAAGGAUUUUGGGUCACUACCUGGGAGGUCCAACUGCUUCUUUGCUUGCAAAUGCUCCGCAAAAGGUCAUUUAAGGAGCUUAGGUUCAACUCUGAUAUAAUUACAGCUGUUGGAAUUGCCACCCCUCCUUGCGUCUCCAAAGAACUUCCUGAAAGUUGCUAUGGUUUCAUAACAACAGUGGUGAUGCAGAGCGCCCAUGAAAGAGGAAGUUUCAGUUGUUCCAAGUCAUAGUCGAACUUCCGCCCCUUCCAGCAUAAGUUCUGGUCAUGUCGAACAUGAAAACUCUUACUGUGGAACUGCUGAGGAUUUGUUUGUACCUGGCACUCCCUAUUACAUAAAGAAGAAUAUGGGUGCAGAGAACUGUCUCAAAUCAGGGGAAUGUUUCACAUUGUUGAGGAGACACCAGGGCGAACAUUUUCAGAGGAUACUAAUAUCAAGCAACAUAAUUUUAGACCACAAACGUGAUAGCCAUUAUUAUGCUCGAGGGAUGUACUUAAAGGUUUGCCUAGUUCUUUGGACGAUGAUAUCUUUGAAUUUUUCUUUUUCUUUUGCAAAGUUGGAAUAUCUUGUCAAGUACUACAUUUUCAGUUUUGAGGAUGUCCCUGCAAUCCAGUUCUUGCGACUGGUAACAGCUGACGAGCUAGUCCUCUGCAAAGAGGUAAAACCUAGCGUUGUCCCAUGCUCUUUCCAUCUCUAUUUCUUUGUCCUUGCAGUGAAAUCGAUGAUCGUCAUAGUGUUGAAACUGCGUGUUCCUUAGAUAAACGGAACAAUGUUAAUGCUGGCAGGUGUAUUCUUGGAGCCCCACUACCCACUUCAGUGAAAUUGGGAAGACCGGAUCACUUACUUCAUUUGAAUUGUAUUAACAUAGGAAAAAAACAAAGAGACUAUAGAACAGAUAUGUGACCAUGAAUUCUGGAGAUGAGUGAGAAGCAACAGUGCUUAACUGAAGCUGUUUGUGAUGUGAACUCUGGAGUUGUAAUCAGUAUAAAAAAUGCUCACUUUUGAGGCUAAUUAUUGAUUAAAUGAUAUGGAUGAUCCACUAAUGCCUCCCUUAAUGAUAGGUAAUAGGCAAUUAUUGGCUAUAUUUAGUGAUACCAGCCCUAUGGGUUCAUAGCAU